UUUUUUUCCAUUUGGAUUUUUUAUGCUCCUAAUGUUUUGGGGCAUCCCGACAAUUAUAUACCUGCUAAUCCGAUGUCCACCCCGCCUCAUAUUGUGCCGGAAUGGUAUUUCCUACCGAUCUAUGCCAUUCUUCGUAGUAUACCUGACAAAUCGGGAGGUGUAGCCGCAAUAGCACUAGUUUUUAUAUGUCUGUUAGCUUUACCUUUUUUUAAAAGUAUGUAUGUGCGUAGUUCAAGUUUUCGCCCGAUUUACCAAGGAAUCUUUUGGUUGCUUUUGGCGGAUUGCUUACUACUAGGUUGGAUCGGAUGUCAACCUGUGGAGGCACCAUUUGUUACUAUUGGACAAAUUUCUUCUUUUGUUUUCUUCUUGUUCUUUGCCAUAACGCCCAUUCUGGGACGAGUUGGAAAAGGAAUUCCUAAUUCUUACACGGAUGAGACUGAUCACACCUGAUCAGUGAAAAAUUCUGACACCAAUCAUUUACAAGUGAGUAUUACACCAAGAAUUGACAAGCGGAUGAGUUUUCUAGUUGGCUAUGUUGAUAUAGCUUAGAUAGGGAAAAGAUACUCCUUUUCGUAUGCUCGGCAGGUAAGUUUAGUACUAGCGCAUCAGAAAGAUAGGCCAGGAUGCUACGGUAGGACGCAAGGGGUUUGGCAUAUAGUCUCCGUGGAUUUGACAAAUGUUGCAGCGUUUAACAUAGUCCAUACAAUUCUGGACCAUUGUAGGCCAGUAGUACCCUAUCUGUUUGAGCUUAACUCGCAUCUUUGGCCCAGACCGGUGGGCACCACACACCCCUGAAUGUACUUCGUACAUGGCUUGCCUUGCUUCAUCACUAGACAAACAUCUCAGCCACAGCAUAAGACUUUUUGUAUAAAGUUUCGUUUAAAUACACAUACUGGGGCAACCUCCUUCGAAGCUGGGUUCCUUUGUGGCUUUCUUCUGGCCAUCUGCCGUGCUUAAAGUAGUUAAUAAAAUAAUGUCUCCAAUCUUCAAUAGAUACUUCCAUGCAGGGAGCCAUUUCCACUAUGGUGACAGCGUUGCAAUCCUGGAGUUGUUCUUUCCGGCCUGGAAAAAGGACCCUGUCAUGUAUAAUGACUUAUGUUCUGCCACCAGGGGGGCUGCUAGAGCGGCUACUAACUUGGCGAAUGCGUCUGCUUUGUCGUUCUUUUUCUUUUGUACGUGGCAGAAUUCGAGUAGCUCGAACUCUUUCAUGAGCUCCAUAGCCAUGGCGUGGUAGGGCAACAAUUCUGGUUUGCAUACUUCAAAUGUACCCUAGAGUUGGCGAAUGAUUAACUGCGAAUUCCCAUAGGAUCAUGAGGACCUUUAUACCAAUUUGGUUGACUACCAGGAGGCCGGCAAUGAGCGCUUCGUACUCAGCUUCAUUGUUUGAACAGCCUUUCAGUAAGGCAAAGGAGAAAUGUAUAACGAUAUUAUUAUAGAAGAAAGAAAGAAUCCAUCUCUACGCAGAAAGAUCUAUGCUAGGAUGACAGCGCUAUCCUGAUGAAGCCGUAUGACACCUUUUCUUUAUUUAAUCGAAAUUGGCUUGGUCUUAUUUGAGCCGAGGGUGGAGUGCUUAAUAAGUAAGUCCAGUAUGCCAGAACCAGUAAUAUGGCAAGCAAGAGCUAAUGUUUUGCUUGCCAUAUAAUAUAUAUAAGCAGAGGAAGCAGCUUAGCCUUUCCUUUCAGUAAAUGAAGAAGCUUUUAAGCUAAGCUAUUUACGGAACAAAAUGAAAGUCAAUAAAGUCAAUACCAGUGCCAUCCUACUCUGAUAGUAAGAGAGGAAGCCCUUAAGGACUAUCCAUAAACGCCGGUGGAACCCUCCUCACUUUCUCCCAUGUUUUUGUUGGUCAACAACCAACCACAGCUCUCGUUUUCUUCUUCACUACUCGUACAGGCUUGACGGAGUUAAGCUGUUUUGAGGGAAGAAUUUUUUUUAAAAACAAAAAGUUUUUCUAAAUCAAUCAUGCCUCAACUGGAUAAAUUCACUUAUUUUACACAAUUCUUCUGGUCAUGCCUUUUCCUCUUUACUUUCUAUAUUUUUAUAUGCAAUGAUGGAGAUGGAGUACUUGGGAUCAGCAGAAUUCUAAAACUACGGAACCAACUGGUUUCACACCGGGGGAACAAGAUCCGGAGCAAGGACCCCAACAGUUUGGAAGAUAUCUUGAGAAAAGGUUUUAGUACCGGUGUAUCCUAUAUGUACUCUAGUUUAUUCGAAGUAUCCCAAUGGUGUAAGGCUGUCGACUUAUUGGGAAAAAGGAGGAAAAUCACUUUGAUCUCUUGUUUCGGAGAAAUAAGUGGCUCGCGAGGAAUGGAAAGAAACAUAUUCUAUUUGAUCUCGAAGUCCUCAUAUAGCAUUUCUUCUAAUCCUGGAUGGGGGAUCACUUGUACUUGUAGUAAUGACAUAAUGCUAAUCCAUGUUCUACACGGCCAAGGAAGCAUCGUUUUUUAAUCUCAACCAACCACUUCGGCCUAAUCAUCCCACUUCUUUCCUCAAUCCCAAUAAACCCAAUAAAGGAUAUCGAUUUCCGAUAACCACUUUCACCCGAUCCAAUUUACCUCCAUCGAGGCAGCGAACUAGUAUAUCAUCUUUCCUGAGGAAUGGAAGGAUGUAGUGGUAUUAGAAUUCUCCGGCUACACGAUGAGAAAAAAGCAUCCCUUUUCUCCUUAAUAAUAGUUUCUUCUAUCUGGUACUUAAUUAAGAUGAAAGCCGGUAAGAAGUGCA
rnacentral:misc_RNA from 1 species